rnacentral:rRNA from 1 species
AGAUUGAACGCUGGCGGCAGGCCUAACACAUGCAAGUCGAGCGGCAGCACGGGUACUUGUACCUGGUGGCGAGCGGCGGACGGGUGAGUAAUGCCUAGGAAUCUGCCUGAUAGUGGGGGAUAACGCUCGGAAACGGACGCUAAUACCGCAUACCGUCCUACGGGAGAAAGCGAGGGGACCUUCGGGCCUUGCGCUAUCAGAUGACGCCUAGGGUCGGAUUACGCGUAGUUGGGUAGGGGUAAUGGCUACACCGAAGACGACGAUCCGUAACUGGUCUGAGAGGUAUGGAUACGA